CAGCAAGUGGGCAAACUAUCUCGGCCUGAGCAAGAAGAUUGCUGUCACUUUCUUCGUCCUACUCAACUUCAUAUUACUGCCGUAUUGCCUAGUAAAGGUCCUCACUCUCUCUGGCGACGUGGCAAAACUGUCUGUGACACUUUCCGAGCAGAGGGCAACGCUUUCGAACCAGAUGAAUGCACUGGUUUGGAAGACUGAUAAGAUGUACCAGCGGCUUAGCAAGACAGAACGGGACCAGGCUAACAUGACCAGGCCUACAGGUCCACUCGGAC